rnacentral:lncRNA from 1 species
UGAUUAUGUCGAAAAAUAUUAUGUACAUAUGUAUGUAUAUAUACAUGUAUAUGAAAAGGCAGUUUUAAGGUCAUUUUUAUUGAUAAAAAGGCAGUUUUCAAGACUUCUGGCAGUUGUCAGGUCAAUUUUGAAAUUUUGUCAUCGAAAGCGUUCAGGACCGUUCUUGACUGCGUUCCGUUUCAACGCAUGAUGCGCAUAAUGCAUUAUUCAUCCUUGUUUAACGUUUGACAAACAACAAGGAUGAACGAUGCAUCAUGUGUACCAUGCGUGAAACGGAACGUACCCCUUGUGUUUCUCAUAGGCUGCGGUCGAGUUGCCGCUACAAAUGCUUCGAAGCGUUUGAUUAACCAAUCAAAAGAAUAAAUUUUAUAAAUUGACGAAUCAAAGAAUGCUUCGAAGUAUUCGUAGGGGCAACUUGACCGCACUCACAACUAUACGAAUGUAAGCGUUUAAACGUGUAGUCAAGAGUCGCACAUCGGUUGCGAAUGUGUUAACGAAAUUUUUGAACGUGGCUGAUGCAAUCGGCUGUAUUUAUAUCUGCUAUUCCUUUUUGCAUCCUCAACUUCAGCAUUUUUAUCUAUUACAUCACGGCAUUUUUCAUUACUUAUUACGCUCAUCAUAGCUCAACAUAUAUUAUUAUACCUCAUGGUCCUAUCGUCCCAUAUCUUCGGAGGGAUUAAGAAGAGAAGUGUAAUGUCAAGAGCUGCGUUCAGUUUCACGUAUUAUGCGCAUCAUACGUGGAACAAAACGCAGCUAAAUUGUUAAGCUGCUGCAAUGCAAUAUUGUAUCUGUUGAUUGUGUGGAUCGGUGCAAACCUCAAAGAGAGGUAGAUAGCUUUUUUGGAGAUUUUAAAUAUGAUAUAGUUACGAAA